rnacentral:rRNA from 1 species
GUGUGGGUCGGUUCGCGGGACCGUCACUCCACUCGAAGUCCAGCAUUGAGUAUGGUUAUCACUGGAUUUGGCCCAUAGAGGGUGAGAGGCCCGUACGAGUGGAGGUUCAGACAUGUACGACGGUUCACCAGACCGGCCUCAGAGUCGGGUUGUUUGAGAUUGCAGCCCAAAGAGGGUGGUAAACUCCAUCCAAGGCUAAAUACAACCACGAGUCCGAUAGCGAACAAGUACCGUGAGGGAAAGUUGAAAAGUACUCUGAAGAGAGAGUAAACAGUACGUGAAGCUGCAUGCAGGUAAACGGGUGGCGUCAAGCUGCUAGCCCAGAGGAUUCAGCUGACUGGGAUGUAGUGUACGCACGCCUGGUGCGUCGAGAGGUCGGAAUAAGAUAUAGCGAUCUACUCCUCUGCUGGGAGUGGGGUGUAAUUGAUGCACGCUUGCGUGUAUUAGUUGUCACUAUGCAUGCCGGGUGGGUGCCGGAGCAUGUCGCUUGUCUGUUGGACCACCUAGUCAGUGCAUUUUCUCUGUGGUGAACACCACGACCGGUGGUAAUGCCAGUCUGCUGUGAUCAAGUCGUGUACACUUGGCAUACAUUAAUUGUGGUUAAGUGGAUACGAUCGCAGGCGGAGUCGGUGGACGGCGCAGUGGUACUUCGGUAUUGCUGUGUGCUAUCGUACACUCUCCGUCGUAAACAAUUAGGAGGGUUUGACUAAGUGCUGUGACUACUUCCUUCCUAAUUGGCGGAUCAUAGUGGUGAAAGGGACUGUGCAGGGCACCGGAGUUAUCCACCUCAUUCAAUAUGGUACUCGACACGCACGUUACAGGUGCUAAAUAAUAGAAUCGAGGUACGCCGUUGUCUGUCUAGUAUUGAGCCUGACUGUCGUGUUGCCUACGCAAAGUGGGUCCGAUAGUGGUUACGAUGCUUGGCAAUGUCAGUGUGUUGCGUAUCUCGGGUGUCUGUGGUACCGGGGGUGAAAUAGUCAGUGGUGCUGUGGUAGACGAGCUACCCGACCCGUCUUGAAACACGGACCAAGGAGUUUAACAUGUGUGCAAGUCAAAGGGUCCUACGAAACCCCUAGGCGCAGUGAAAGUGAAGUUCAUACUGCAUUUCUGCACAUGCGCGAUGCAGUGUGGCGAGGUGAGAUCUCGUUGUACUCAUGACACACGCCGCAGACCUUACUGGGCAUUAAUUGGGGCAACGAGCGCAUCACCGGCCCGUCCCAUGAUGUGGUCAUAGGCUAACUUGUGCGUGGAGUGG